UCACCUCCCAGAAAUGGAUUAACGGCUGCAUGAGCAAACCAACCACUGGCCCCUCCACCUUUUCCCUUUGCUUUCUCAGUUCUCACUCGGACUCAGUCAUGGCGAUUUCUCUCUCGUUCAACACUCUCCAACUCAACACCUGCACCAAUCAUCUCUCGAUGCGUGCGUUUCCCAACCAAUCAUCAAACCUCAAGCUCCUCCGCUUCUUACCUACCAAUUUCACUCACGCACAGCCAAGCCGCCUCUUCGCUGCCUCUGCGGUCUCUAAUUCUCCAGGAAUUGAAGCUUCUAGUUCAGUUGGCGAAGAAAUUGUGAAUUCAUUGGACAGUGUGAAAGUCUUUGAUUUGAAUGGAAACGAAAUUUUGGUUUCCAAUUUGUGGAAAGAUCGAAAAGCGGUUGUAGCAUUUGCUCGUCACUUCGGAUGUGUGCUUUGCCGGAAGCGAGCGGACUAUCUUGCCUCGAAGAAGGAUGUAAUGGAUGCAUCUGGCGUGGCUCUUGUUUUGAUUGGACCUGGUAGUGUUGAACAGGCAAGAACAUUCUCUGAGCAAACAAAAUUCAAAGGAGAAGUUUAUGCAGAUCCUAGUCACUCAUCAUAUGAUGCUUUAAGUUUUGUAUCUGGGGUUUCAACCACAUUUACUCCCAAAGCAGGUCUUAAGAUAAUACAAUCUUACAUGGCGGGUUAUCGACAAGAUUGGAAGCUUUCAUUUGAAAAGGAUACUGUUAGCAGAGGUGGCUGGAGACAAGGAGGAAUUAUAGUUGCAGGACCUGGUAAAAGCAAUAUAUUGUACAUACACAAGGAUAAGGAAGCAGGGGAUGACCCGAAUAUUGAAGAUAUAUAAAAGCAUGCUGUAUGUGAAGAAUUAGUGAUCGGUAGUCAUUGUGGUAAAUGAAUAUUGUUGAUGUUUAGCUCUAUCCCGCCAAAAACAAAGAAUUCUGCAAAUAAACGCGGUCGUUUUAGGAGUUUGUGCCACAGCAAAUGAAUUUUCUUAUGUCAACACCGUUCGUGCUCACUACUUCACUUGCCCUAACGAAGGAUUACAUUACAUUGCCCGCAAAAUGGCCGACAAGAAAA